UGAAAAGCCCUUUGGCCUUAAACCGGAGAAAGUGCAUUCGGAAAGCUGGGGAGACUCUGAGUGCAAGAAGGAGGACCAGUGGAACCUCCCAUGUGUAGGCGGUGGAAAUGCGUAGAAUAUAUGGAAGAACCACCAGUGGCGAAGGCGGCUGUCUAGUCUGUAACUGACGCUGAGGCUCGACAGCAUGGGUAGCGAACAGGAUUAGAUACCCUGGUAGUCCAUGCCGUAAACGAUGAGUGCUAAGUGUUGGAGGGUUUCCGCCCUUCAGUGCUGCAGCUAACGCAUUAAGCACUCCGCCUGGGGAGUACGACCGCAAGGUUGAAACUCAAAGGAAUUGACGGGGGCCCGCACAAGCGGUGGAGCAUGUGGUUUAAUUCGAAGCUACGCGAAGAACCUUACCAGGUCUUGACAUCUUCUGCCAAUCUUAGAGAUAAGACGUUCCCUUCGGGGACAGAAUGACAGGUGGUGCAUGGUUGUCGUCAGCUCGUGUCGUGAGAUGUUGGGUUAAGUCCCGCAACGAGCGCAACCCUUAUUAUCAGUUGCCAGCAUUCAGUUGGGCACUCUGGUGAGACUGCCGGUGACAAACCGGAGGAAGGUGGGGAUGACGUCAAAUCAUCAUGCCCCUUAUGACCUGGGCUACACACGUGCUACAAUGGACGGUACAACGAGUUGCGAAGUCGUGAGGCUAAGCUAAUCUCUUAAAGCCGUUCUCAGUUCGGAUUGUAGGCUGCAACUCGCCUACAUGAAGUUGGAAUCGCUAGUAAUCGCGGAUCAGCAUGCCGCGGUGAAUACGUUCCCGGGCCUUGUACACACCGCCCGUCACACCAUGAGAGUUUGUAACACCCAAAGCCGGUGAGAUAACCUUCGGGAGUCAGCCGUCUAAGGUGAACAAAGAUGGGG
rnacentral:rRNA from 1 species